UCAGUCUCCGCCUGCCCUGACUGCGCCCUCCCACGCAGACACGGGACUCAAUCCGUGCCUCGGCCGUCGGGCUCCUCGGGACUCUGGUGCGCCGGGGCCGGGGCGGGCUCCGGCUGGGGCUCCGCGGCCCCCUGCGGAAGCUGGUGCUGCAGAGUCUCGUGCCGCUGCUGUUGCGCCUGCAUGACCCCAGCAGGGACGCUGCUGAGGUCAGCAGCCCCCCACACCAUCCCACCCCUAUGCCAUCCAACACUCACCACUCCCACCGUGCCUCCCCUCCGACAAUUACAGGUCAGGGACUCACCCAUCCCAAGGACCUCAGAGGCAGGCGUGAUGGGCGGCCGGGUUACUACUGCUCUUCCCUUGAGCGGAUUCAAUCCGGCCUCCUGCCCUGGGCUCUUCUGCCCCUCACCCGAUGCCCUUGCUCCCCCUCUUCCCACCCCACCUUUUGCCUUUCUACUUCCUGGACCCCUUACCCGGCUCCCUUCCCCUAUCCCAGAGCUCAGAGUGGACCCUGGCCCGCUGCGACCAGGCCUUUUGCUGGGGCCUGCUGGAGGAGAUGGUCACCGUGGCCCACUAUGACAGUCCCGAGGCCCUGAGCCACCUCUGCUGCCGCCUGGUCAGUAGGGGAAGCAAGGUGACUGCAAGGGGGUAUGAUCAGCAGCCCACUUGUUCCAGGGUUCACCGGGGCCCCCAAACCGUUUCUACUGCAGCCAAACCAGAUAGGCUACUGGUGGGGCAAGUCCAAGGCCUCCCACCAUGCCACCUGCCCUGGGGGCUCCCCUGGAACCCCGGCCCCUGGAUUCAGCUCUGCGACCUCCUCCACACUCAGGAUCAGCCCUCCUGUCCUGCCACUAGCCCUUUUGUCCCCAGGUUCAGCGAUACCCGGGCCACGUGCCCAACUUCCUGAGCCAGACCCAGGGCUACCUGCGGAGUCCACAGGACCCCCUGCGCCGGGCAGCCGCAGUGCUUAUAGGCUUCCUUGUCCACCAUGCCAGCCCCGGCCGUGUCAACCAGGACCUGCUGGACUCCCUGUUCCAGGACCUAGGGCGGCUGCAGAGCGACCCCGAGCCGGCCGUGGCCGCGGCAGCGCACGUGUCCGCCCAGCAGGUGGCGAUGCUGGCCCGCGCCCGGGGCCGCCCCCGCGGGCCCCGCCUCCUCCGCAUCGCCCCGCGCCCCGCCCGGCCCCCGCCAGUCUUCGCCGACAGCCCUUUCCAGCGCCGGAGGGUCGCGGACCGCUGGGGCUGCUCCGGACCCCGCCGAGCCUGAGGCUCGGGGCUGGGGCCCGCGGGCCAGGGUCCGACUCGGGCACCCCACGCGCGUAGCAGCCCGUCCCCGCCCUGAUGGAGGGGCUCCCUGGGCCCGGUGCUGGAUGCCAGUGCCUGCCCCAACCCCCCACCCCCGCGACCCCUCUUCAGGCACCCACCGCCCUGAUGGCGACGGAGAGGGACAGCCAGCAUCUAUCUGUCCCCAUCAGGGCUGUUGUUCUCACAGCUCCCUGGAGCAUGCCCCGUGCUCCAACCUUGGGCCUGGCUCCUGGCCCAGAUGGCACCUGGCCUCUUGAGUCUGGUGGGGGACCCCAAAGUUGGUGGUCCCAUAGGCUGCCCUCCUGGGUCUCCACCUCAUGUCUGGACAGGACGCUGUGGCCUGUCCGGGCCUUGGCCAGCCCUGCAGCUGCACCCCCGAUCCUCAUCUCUCACCCCAUUCCUUGCCAGCAUCCUGAGGCUCCUGGCGGGCAUCCUCCUUGCUCAAAAGUAUUGACCUGUCUCCUGGCCACACCUGCUGUGCCCUCUCAGCCAGGCCAUCAUCACCCCCCGUUCAUUAUGUCAGGCCUCAUGGGAGCCUGGCCUUCUCCAGAAGCUGGCCCCGGCGUCCCCCCAAGCUGGCCCACGUAGGCCCCGGAUCACACCUGGGGGUCCAGAUGUAGGGGUCCCGUGUGCACGCCCAAUCAGACCGAGCACUUGUGACACUACCCCAGCACCUCUCCCAGGGCUGAAUGGCACCUCUCCCAGGGCUGAAUGAGGAACGCGCCACUGGGCACACAAAGAAGAGGCUGCUCUAGGAGCCGCCAAUGCUGUGACAUCACCGCUCUGGCUUUGGGCGGCAGGUUCCUGAGCCUAGGAUGCCUGCCUGGAAAUGUCCUUGCAUUCAAGGCCUCCUUCGCAGCCUCCUCCUCAGAGAAGCCUCCGCAAGUGCACAGGGAGUGUGCGCAGCCUUGUGAAGGGCUGGGACCACUUGCCCAGACCGGGGCCCCUCGGGCACAGGCGUGGGGUCCUACUGACCUGUCUCCCCAGCUCCACACGGAAAGCAUCUAAAAUACACACACAUGGAUGGAGA
rnacentral:sRNA from 1 species